CUGCUGCCUCCCGUAGGAGUCUGGGCCGUGUCUCAGUCCCAAUGUGGCCGUCCGCCCUCUCAGGCCGGCUACUGAUCGUCGCCUUGGUGGGCCGUUACCCCGCCAACUGGCUAAUCAGACGCGGAUCCACCGUAUACCGCCGGAGCUUUUCACACUGUCCCAUGCGGGACCGUGCGCUUAUGCGGUAUUAGCACCUGUUUCCAGGUGUUAUCCCCCUGUAUACGGCAGGUUAUCCACGCGUUACUCACCCGUCCGCCACUAAA
rnacentral:rRNA from 1 species